CCAGACGAUCGCGUGCAGUAUGCAUGAGGAAAGUCCGGGCUCCACAGGGCGAGGAUGCCAGAUAACGUCUGGCGUAGGUAACUAUAGGGAAAGUGCAACAGAAACAUUCCGCCGAAACGGGUAAUGCCGUGGUAAGGUUGAAAUGGUGAGGUAAGAGCUCACCGGCGCAAUGGAGACAUUGCGGCCGUGUAAACCCCAUCCGGAGCAAGACUAAGACAGGGUUUGUAGUGCAGUGGCCCGCUGCCCCCGAGAGGUAAGUCGCUGGAGGCUGUCAGCAAUGGCAGUCGUAGAUGGAUGAUCGUUUAAUACAGAACCCGGCUUACGGUUUGCC
rnacentral:RNase_P_RNA from 1 species